rnacentral:rRNA from 1 species
GGGAAUAUUGGACAAUGGGCGAAAGCCUGAUCCAGUAAUGCCGCGUGAGUGAUGAAGGCCUUAGGGUCGUAAAGCUCUUUUACCCGGGAUGAUAAUGACAGUACCGGGAGAAUAAGCCCCGGCUAACUCCGUGCCAGCAGCCGCGGUAAUACGGAGGGGGCUAGCGUUGUUCGGAAUUACUGGGCGUAAAGCGCACGUAGGCGGUUAUUCAAGUCAGAGGUGAAAGCCCGGGGCUCAACCCCGGAACGGCCUUUGAAACUAGAUGACUAGAAUCUUGGACAGGCGAGUGGAAUUCCGAGUGUAGAGGUGAAAUUCGUAGAUAUUCGGAAGAACACCAGUGGCGAAGGCGACUCGCUGGACAAGUAUUGACGCUGAGGUGCGAAAGCGUGGGGAGCAAAC